rnacentral:rRNA from 1 species
CUGGACUGACACUGACACUGAGGUGCGAAAGCGUGGGUAGCAAACAGGAUUAGAUACCCUGGUAGUCCACGCCGUAAACGAUGUCGACUAGCCGUUGGGUCCCUUGAGGACUUUGUGGCGCAGUUAACGCGAUAAGUCGACCGCCUGGGGAGUACGGCCGCAAGGUUAAAACUCAAAUGAAUUGACGGGGGCCCGCACAAGCGGUGGAGCAUGUGGUUUAAUUCGAUGCAACGCGAAGAACCUUACCUACCCUUGACAUCGUGCGAACUUGGUAGAGAUACCUUGGUGCCUUCGGGAGCGCACAGACAGGUGCUGCAUGGCUGUCGUCAGCUCGUGUUGUGAAAUGUUGGGUUAAGUCCCGUAACGAGCGCAACCCUUGUCCCUAUUUGCCAGCGAUUCGGUCGGGAACUCUAGGGAGACUGCCGGUGACAAACCGGAGGAAGGUGGGGACGACGUCAAGUCAUCAUGGCCCUUACGGGUAGGGCUACACACGUGCUACAAUGGCCGGUACAAAGGGUUGCGAAGCCGCGAGGUGGAGCCAAUCCCGAAAAGCCGGUCUCAGUCCGGAUCGGAGUCUGCAACUCGACUCCGUGAAGU